GGUGUAAAUCAAGUCCUCGGUCUGUUAGUACGUCUCAGCUACAUACAUUACUGCACUUACACUUGACGCCUAUUUAACGGCUAAUCUUGCCGUGACCUUAACCGUUUAAAACGGUGAGAGUACUCAUCUUAAGGUUGGCUUCCCACUUAGAUGCUUUCAGCGGUUAUCCUUUCCGCACUUAGCUACCCAGCGUUUACUAUUGGCAUAAUAACUGGUACACCAGCGGUGCGUCUCUCCCGGUCCUCUCGUACUAAGGAGAGCUCCUUUCAAUACUCUAGCGCCUGCACCGGAUAUGGACCGAACUGUCUCACGACGUUCUGAACCCAGCUCGCGUACCGCUUUCAUGGGCGAACAGCCCAACCCUUGGGACGUACUACCGCCCCAGGAUGCGAUGAGCCGACAUCGAGGUGCCAAACCUCCCCGUCGAUGUGAACUCUUGGGGGAGAUCAGCCUGUUAUCCCUAGAGUAACUUUUAUCCGUUGAGCGACAGCCCUUCCACUCGGCACUGUCGGAUCACUAAGGCCGACUUUCGUCUCUGCUCGACUUGUAGGUCUUGCAGUCAAGCUCCCUUAUGCCUUUACACUCUACGACUGAUUUCCAACCAGCCUGAGGGAACCUUUGCACGCCUCCGUUACUUUUUAGGAGGCGACCGCCCCAGUCAAACUGCCCACCUGAAACUGUCCCUUGGCCGGAUAACGGCUUUCAAGGUUAGAAUUCUAGCUUUUCCAGAGUGGUAUCUCACUGAUAGCUCAAAUAGAUCCGCAAACCUAUUUUCUUAGCUUCCCACCUAUGCUGCGCAAGAAAAGCUCAAACCCAAUUCCAAGUUACAGUAAAGCUUCAUAGGGUCUUUCUGUCCAGGUGCAGGUAGUCCGCAUCUUCACAGACAAGUCUAUUUCGCCGAGUCUCUCUCCGAGACAGUACCCAAAUCGUUACGCCUUUCGUGCGGGUCGGAACUUACCCGACAAGGAAUUUCGCUACCUUAGGACCGUUAUAGUUACGGCCGCCGUUCACCGGGGCUUCAGUCGUCAGCUUCGUAUAAAUACUAACCGACUUCUUUAACCUUCCGGCACUGGGCAGGCGUCAGCCCCCAUACAUUGUCUUGCGACUUAGCGGAGACCUGUGUUUUUGAUAAACAGUCGCUUGGGUCUGGUUAUUGCAACCCUACAAGGGUACCCCUUCUUCCGAAGUUACGGGGCCAUUUUGCCGAGUUCCUUAGAGAGAGUUAUCUCGCGCCCCUUGGUAUACUCUACCUACCUACCUGUGUCGGUUUCGGGUACAGGUGUUUAUUAUUUAAGAUAUGUCGAGCUUUUCUAGGAAGUAUGACAUCAAUCACUUUAGCACCUUAGUACUUUGUAUUCACUUCUUUGCUCAGAAUGUUUUCUCCACUCCUCAUCACAUCGAAAGUUUAAACCGGUAACCAACAUCCGGCUGACUUAGCCUUCUCCGUCCCUCGUUAUCAAUAAUAAACAGUACAGGAAUAUUAACCUGUCAUCCAUCGACUACGCUUUUCAGCCUCGCCUUAGGCCCUGACUCACCCUCCGUGGACGAACCUUCCAGAGGAAACCUUAGGUUUUCGGGGCAUUGGAUUCUCACCAAUGUUUUCGCUACUUAAGCCGACAUUCUCACUUCUGCUUUGUCCACAUCCGCUUACGCUAAUGCUUCAACCUUACACAGAACGCUCCCCUACCGAUGUUAAACAUCCCACAGCUUCGGCAAUAUACUUAGUCCCAUUCAUUUUCGGCGCAGGAUCACUGGACCAGUGAGCUAUUACGCACUCUUUAAAGGGUUGCUGCUUCUAAGCAAACCUCCUGGUUGUCUAUGCAUUCCCACUUCCUUUGCCACUUAGUAAAUAUUUAGGGGCCUUAGCUGGUGGUCUGGGCUGUUUCCCUUUUGACAAUGAAGCUUAUCCCCCACUGUCUCACUGGUUGAUUACACACUUAGUAUUCAGAGUUUGCCUCGAUUUGGUACCGCUUUCACAGCCCGCACCGAAACAGUGCUUUACCCCUAAGCUAUAGCAUCAACCGCUGCGCCAAAACGCAUUUCGGGGAGAACCAGCUAGCUCCGGAUUCGAUUGGCAUUUCACCCCUAAUCACAACUCAUCCGCUGAUUUUUCAACAUCAGUCGGUUCGGACCUCCACUUAGUGUUACCUAAGCUUCACCCUGGCCAUGACUAGAUCAUCCGGGUUCGGGUCUGUAAACAGUGACGAACGCUCUUAUCAAGCUCGCUUUCACUAUGGCUCCGGUAUUCUUUACCUUAACCUGCCACUGCAUACAAGUCGCCGGCUCAUUCUUCAACAUGCACGAGGUCAGACGUUAAGUCGUCCUCCCACUGCUUGUAAGCUUACGGUUUCAUGUUCUAUUUCACUCCCCUCCCGGGGUUCUUUUCACCUUUCCCUCGCGGUACUGUUUCACUAUCGGUCAUUCAGGAAUAUUUAGCCUUACGAGGUGGUCCUCGCUGAUUCACACGGGAUUUCACGUGCCCCAUGCUACUCGGGAUAUAGCUAAAGUAGUUUUGGUUUUCAGUUACAGGAUUAUCACCUUCUAUGAUACAUUAUUCCAAAUGUUUUACUUAACCUUGACUAAUCUUUUGAUUGCUAUCCCACGACCCCAUAAAAACAUGUUUUUAUGGUUUAGGCUGUUCCCAUUUCGCUCGCCGCUACUAAGGGAAUCGCUUUUGCUUUAUUUUCCUCUGGUUACUAAGAUGUUUCAGUUCGCCAGGUUUGCUCUUUCCUGUCUAUAGAUUCAACAGGUAGUAUGAAGAGUUUCCUCAUUCGGGUAUCUCCGAGUCAAAGCUUGCUUCCAGCUCGUCGAAGUGUUUCGUCGGUAGCCACGCCCUUCAUCGCUUCUGAAUGCCAAGGUAUCCACCGUAAGCUCUUAUUAUCUUGAGUU
rnacentral:rRNA from 1 species